CACAUCAUCCAGCACUCACACACAUCAUCCAGCACACACACACACACACACAUCAUCCAGCACACACACACACACACACACACAUCAUCCAGCACACACACACACAUCAUCCAGCACACACACACACAUCAUCCAGCACUCGCACACACAUCAUCCAGCACUCACACACACAUCAUCCAGCACUCACACACACGUCAUCCAGCACGCACACACACAUCAUCCAGCACACGCACACA